AGGAAAGUGUGAGUAAACAUGCAGAUUGUACCAAAUCACAGGUCAGUGCCGAUGAGCAUGGGAAUGGUUGUAAUGAAAUACUUGACACCAAGAAAGGCUCAGAAUUUCCUGUAAAUCACUCAAGUGGGUUCACUGUGAUUCCCACCUACUCACACCAUGAAGGAGGACUAAAAACAGAAGAGAAAUGUUUCGACUGUAUUACCCCUGGAGACACUGAGAUCAGUUCUGAUUCACUGAGUGAUGUUGCACAGAUGUCUCCUACAGGAAUGUCCCGAAUUCAGCAAGAGAAAGAGUUAUUUUUUCAUCCCUUUGAUUGCCAGAUCUCCACCACCACAUUCUCUUUUUCUGCUUCUGUGCUUCAGAAAAGUGUUAAAGAGGAAAAAGAGAUAAGUGUGGAUCAGGCCUCUACAGGUGCACUAGAAACUAACACUCAUUCCACUCCCCAGUCUGAGACAGCCAGCUGGAGGAUGGAGCAGCUUAAUAAGCAUUUGUCAGAGCAGUUCCCAUACGGUACCCAAAACACAGAGGAGCAGGAUACACAGUGUUCUGAACAGCAGCUCUUGCAGUUACAACAUGUAGGUACUUGUUUGGACACUGAAAACACAAGAACUAUGAAAGAAGAAGACACAGUUUCAAAUGGCUUACAGCAGCAAGAAGGAAUUCAAGAAGAGAUAAGUAAACAGAUGGCAAAUGAGGAAAAGAACAAGGCCACUGAAAAGGAUCACGUAGAAAUGUCUAAAGGGGCUGAACCUAAGUCUUCAGAGUCUAUAGUGAAAGAAAACAUCUCCAAAGAAAACCGAAGCAAGUUGGAGGAGCCGUCUUUAUUUUCCCCUGAUGAAACAAUAGUUGAUAAUGUAGAGCAGCAAACUGAAGAAGUUUCUAAUGGGACAGUGACAGAAAUGAAACCGGUUGUGUCAUUGUUAUACCCUGAGACCUCUGUCUGCUUAGUGACUGACCCCCAAGAUUCCCUCCACUUCCCUCCUACAGUCAAUCAACAGUCUAGUCAGCAGCCCACUAAGUAUGUUAUCCAAACUUUACAUCAAAACUCCACAAAUACAGUUAAAAGUAGCAGUGAGCCAAGUCCUGACAUAGCAGAUAACCCUUGUGGAGACAAAGAAUCCCUUCUAAUCAAUAAAGCAAUACAAAAAGAUGACAGUGAAGCUAUUGAAGAUGAAGUCAGCAAGGUUUCAAAAGCUGCAGUAGAGGUAGAGGGAACAGUAGAGGUAUCACAGGUUAUCAAAAGUUCAGACAGCAAAGUCUUCGGUGCAAUCUUUGUACCUGAGAGGUCAGAUACAGUCAACUCUGAAGGUUCUGAUUGG
ensembl:lncRNA